rnacentral:rRNA from 1 species
UACGAAGGGGGCUAGCGUUGUCCGGAAUCAUUGGGCGUAAAGCGCGCGUAGGCGGCCAGAUAAGUCCGGUGUGAAAGUCAAAGGCUCAACCUUUGAAUGCCGCUGGAAACUGUCUGGCUUGAGUCCGGAAGGGGCGACUGGAAUUCCUGGUGUAGCGGUGAAAUGCGCAGAUAUCAGGAGGAACACCGGUGGCGAAGGCGGGUCUCUAGGCCGAUACUGACGCUGAGGAGCGAAAGCGUGGGGAGCGAACAGG